GUAACUGUAUUCUACCACGCCUGGGAGAUGCUCCAAGGGAAAAUUCUGUACUACUCCAUUACUUUCAGAAGAGGCAACAGGACUGCCCUUGCUGAGGGUUACUACAAUGACUUUAUUUGCACCUGCUUCAUUCAUCACCUGGGCCAUCAUCUUGUGACAUUCAGCUGUAUUCCAGACACUAAUACCACUGAGAUAAUACUCUGGAAUCUGAAGACCACAGGCAUGUGGCCAAGUUACCUUCAGUUCGUCUUGGAGUCUUUUGUGGUGGAGAGAACUACCUUCAAAUGUGGAACUUGGCUGCAAAGAUCAAUGACCAGUUUUUCACUGUUACUAUAAACAAGGGAAAAACCACAGAUGGAAUUUGAGACAUUGUGGCUAUGCAGAAUUG